CGGGUUGUAAAGCACUUUCAGUCGUGAGGAAGGUAGUGUAGUUAAUAGCUGCAUUAUUUGACGUUAGCGACAGAAGAAAGCACCGGCUAACUCCGUCGCCAGCAGCCGCGGUAAUACGGAGGGUGCGAGCGUUAAUCGGAAUUACUGGGCGUAAAGCGCAUGCAGGUGGUUUGUUAAGUCAGAUGUGAAAGACCCGGGGCGUCAACCUACGGAAUAGCAUUUGAAACUAGGCAGACUAGAGUACUGUAGAGGGGGGUAGGAAUUUCAGGUGUAGCGGUGAAAAUGCGUAGAGAUCUGAAGGAAUACCGGUGGCGAAGGCGGCCCCCUCGGACAGAUACUGACACUCAGAUGCGAAAGCGUGGGGAGCAAACAGGAUUAGAUACCCUGGUAG
rnacentral:rRNA from 1 species